GUUAUACGUUGAUUUAUUCGUUAUCAUGUGUCCAUUCGUCUAAAAAUAGGAUUGUUGGAAAAUAACAUCACAUGACCAUUAUGAUAUUAUUGUCGUUUUGAUUUACAACUUGAGACAAAAAAUUAGAAUCAAAGAAAGAUGAGUCAAGGCUUUUAUCAACAAGGUCCAAACUACGGUUCAGCCCCUCCAUAUGGACAACCAGCAGGAGCAUAUGGUCCACCAGCAGGGGGUUAUGGUCCACCAGCAGGAGCUUAUGGUCCACCAGCAGGGAAUUAUGGUCCACCAGCCGGAGCUUAUCAGCCACAGUACCAACAACCAACAGUAGUAUAUGUAGAAGGGAAAACCCAAGAAGACCGGGACAGAGAAUCUGCCGAGGAUUGUUGUCUGUUUGCUGCAUGCUGUGCAUUGUUGUGUUGUUGUCUGGCUAAUAAUUGAUCAUUUAUUAUGGAAUUAUUAACAAUAUUUUUUUGUGAAAUUGUGAUAGUUAUGUACAGAACAAAGCCAUUCCAUUCAUUACAGUAUCAUUCUACCGACCUAAGAAAUUACUGAAACUGAUGGAACAGUAUUAAGAAUGCAAUAUUUACAGUUAUCUGCAUAAUAGUCUUUGUUUGUUUGUAAUUAAAUGUUAAUUAUAAUUGUUAAAUAUGUACUGAUUUUAGUGUAAAAUGUUAUUUAUUGUUUUACAAACUGUUGAUUCUCAGUGAUUCUUCAAAUACAAAAGUGUAAUAGUGUAAUCACAUGUUCAUUGACAAUCUGUUUAAAAUUGCUUUCCUUCAAACAAUGGAGAGGAAACUCGUUCAUAAUUGUAUCAAUAAAAUAAUCAACUGUAAAUAUCAGAAGUUGGGACAAAUCAAGCCUACAUGAAUCAAAAGUAAAAGCUAUUUUUUGUA